rnacentral:rRNA from 1 species
CUCGCGGCCAUUUUGGGAUGCCCGGUAGCCUCUUUCCCUCAAUCUUACUUAGGCUUGCCCCUCUCUACCCAUAAGCUCCAUCUUGCCGACUUUUUCUUCAUCAUUGACAAGAUUGACCGGAGAUUGGCAGGAUGGAGAGGCCUGUUACUAUCGUUGGCAGGGAGAGCAAUUCUUGUGCCGGACUGCAGAACUACAAGGGAAGCAGCCAAGCCGCUCACUACUAAACUGGCUUACACGGCGGUUUGGAAGACGAGGCCCGCAGACGCCUUCACCUCGGCCAUCCGGAGCAACUAUGCCUCGAACAAGUGCAGGCUCUUCAUCUGGCUUGCCAACAAAGACCGCCUAUUUACCAACGCCAGGCGCUUCCGGCGGGGUAUCACCACCUCCGAUGCUUGCCCCUUCUGCACGCAAUGUGAAACUAUCGAGCACCUCUUAUUCGAAUGCAGACAACUUCGCCCCUUGUGGGCGGAACUGGAUAGCCUUUGCCCGGAUGUACCGCAUGGGCUCCGCAACGCCUGGGACGGAAACUUCACCAACAAGACAAGGUCAACUGUUCUCAUGGCCGUUCUCUGGAACAUUUGGCAGAGGAGAAACGCCAAAGUUUUCCGGGAUCUCCACCUCGAUCUACACACGACUGUUGUCAACGCGGCAAAUGAUCUUCGCGUUUGGUCUCACCGCUGUAAGAAUGCCCAGAAACAAAUAGUGCUUCUCGACUGGGCCACCAUGUUGUUCCAC